GAUGAACGCUGGCAGCAUGCUUAACACAUGCAAGUCGACUGUUGCGUACGGGUGAGUACCGCGUAAAGAACUUGCCUCACAGCUAGGGCAAACAUUUGGAAACGAAUGCUAAUACCUGAUACUGUGAGAGAGCUUUGCGUCCCAUUAGCUAGUUGGAGAGGUAACGGCUCACCAAGGCGAUGAUGGGUAGCCAGCCUGAGAGGGUGAGCGGCCACAAGGGGACUGAGACACGGCGCUUACUCCUACGGGAGGCAGCAGUUGGGAAUAUGGGACAAUGGACCAAAGUCUGAUCCAGUAAUUCUGUGUUGAAUAUUAAGUUUUCGGAAUGUAAAGUGAUUUCAGUUGGGAAGCGGUAUCAACAGAAGAAGUGACGGCUAAAUACGUGCCAGCAGCCGCGGUAAUUC
rnacentral:rRNA from 1 species